GAUGAACGCUGGCGGCGUGCCUAAUACAUGCCAGUCGAGCGAACGGACGAGAAGCUUGCUUUUCUGAUGUUAGCGGCGGACGGGUGAGUAACACGUGGAUAACCUACCUAUAAGACUGGGAUAACUUCGGGAAACCGGAGCUAAUACCGGAUAAUAUUUUGAACCGCAUGGUUCAAAAGUGAAAGACGGUCUUGCUGUCACUUAUAGAUGGAUCCGCGCUGCAUUAGCUAGUUGGUAAGGUAACGGCUUACCAAGGCAACGAUGCAUAGCCGACCUGAGAGGGUGAUCGGCCACACUGGAACUGAGACACGGUCCAGACUCCUACGGGAGGCAGCAGUAGGGAAUCUUCCGCAAUGGGCGAAGCCUGACGGAGCAACGCCGCGUGAGUGAUGAAGGUCUUCGGAUCGUAAAACUCUGUUAUUAGGGAAGAACAUAUGUGUAAGUAACUGUGCACAUCUUGACGGUACCUAAUCAGAAAGCCACGGCUAACUACGUG
rnacentral:rRNA from 1 species